rnacentral:tRNA from 1 species
GGGGAGGUACCUAAGUGGCCAAAAGGAGCGGACUGUAGAUCCGUUGGCUGAACGCCUUCGAAGGUUCAAAUCCUUCCCUCCCCACCA